CUACGGGUGGCUGCAGUGAGGAAUAUUGCACAAUGGGGGGAACCCUGAUGCAGCAACGCCGCGUGGAGGAUGACGCAUUUCGGUGUGUAAACUCCUUUUAUAUGUCAAGAAAAUGACGGUAGCAUAUGAAUAAGCACCGGCUAACUCCGUGCCAGCAGCCGCGGUAAUACGGAGGGUGCAAGCGUUACUCGGAAUCACUGGGCGUAAAGGACGCGUAGGCGGGUGGGAAAGUCAGGUGUGAAAACCUACAGCUUAACUGUAGAACUGCACUUGAAACUUCUAAUCUAGAGUAUGGGAGGGGGAGAUGGAAUUAGUGGUGUAGGGGUAAAAUCCGUAGAUAUCACUAGGAAUACCUAAAGCGAAGGCGAUCUCCUGGAACAUUACUGACGCUAAGGCGUGAAAGCGUGGGGAACAAACAGGAUUAGAUACCCCGGUAGUC
rnacentral:rRNA from 1 species